rnacentral:rRNA from 1 species
GAUGAACGCUGGCGGCGUGCCUAAUACAUGCAAGUCGAGCGAACAGACGAGGAGCUUGCUCCUCUGACGUUAGCGGCGGACGGGUGAGUAACACGUGGAUAACCUACCUAUAAGACUGGGAUAACUUCGGGAAACCGGAGCUAAUACCGGAUAAUAUAUUGAACCGCAUGGUUCAAUAGUGAAAGACGGUUUUGCUGUCACUUAUAGAUGGAUCCGCGCCGCAUUAGCUAGUUGGUAAGGUAACGGCUUACCAAGGCAACGAUGCGUAGCCGACCUGAGAGGGUGGGUCGCCACCAGUGGAACGGAGACGCGCCCAGGCCCCCUAGGGGAGGCACCAGAAGGAAUUCCGCAGAAAGGGGGGAGAACGGGACGAACCACGCCGGGGGGGGUAAUAAGGGUCUUGGGCUAUAAAAACUUUUUUAUGGGAAAAAAAAAAUUGUGAAAGUAAAAAUGCGCGUUGGGACGGUACCUAAUAAAAAAGCCACGGCAAACUCCGCG